rnacentral:rRNA from 1 species
GCGUCAGAUUAGCUAGUUGGAGUGGUAACGGCUCUCCAAGCCGACGAUCUUUAGCUGGUGUGAGAGGACGAUCAGCCACACUGGGACUGAGACACGGCCCAGACUCCUACGGGAGGCAGCAGUGAGGAAUUUUGGUCAAUGGGGGCAACCCUGAACCAGCGACGCCGCGUGCAGGAUGACGGCCCUUUGGGUUGUAAACUGCUUUCAGACAAGAGGAAAAGCCGGGUCGCCCGGCUGGGACAGUAUUGUAAUAAGAAGCACCGGCUAACUACGUGCCAGCAGCCGCGGUAAUACGUAGGGUGCAAGCGUUAUCCGGAAUCACUGGGUGUAAAGGGAGUGUAGGCUGGCACUUGCGUCAGAGGUUAAAUCCCCGAGCUUAACUCGGGAACCGCCUUUGAUACGGGGUGUCUUGAGUAUGAGAGAGGAUGAUGGAAUUCCUGGUGUAGCAGUGAAAUGCGUAGAUAUCAGGAGGAACACCGGUGGCGAAGGCGGUCAUCUGGCUCAUUACUGACGCUGAGGCUCGAAAGCGUGGGGAUCAAACAGGAUUAGAUACCCUGGUAGUCCACGCCCUAAACGAUGUAUGCUUGGUGUUAAUCUCGUCAGAGAUUAGUGCCGUAGGAAACCCGUUAA